rnacentral:misc_RNA from 1 species
CGAGGGUGCAACUGGAGAAGGUCAUAAUCAAUAUUCACAGCAAAUUUCAAAACGCAAAAUUCUCCCCUGGAAGAAGAGAAACUUAAGCUUCAGAUCUCCUAAACCCAAAGGGGAGCCAUUGUUGAAGAAGCAUUAUGGAGAGGAAGGUGGGGAUGAUAUAGAUUUUGAUCGCCGGCAGCUUAGUUCAUCCGAUGAGUCUUCUUCAGGGUGGAAUAAAUCUGAGGAAAGUUCAACUGCCAAUGAAUUUUCAGUCUCCGAGUUUGGAGAAGACAGUUUUGCUGUUGGUAGUUGGGAGCAGAAAGAGAUAGUAAGCCGUGAUGGGCAGAUGAAGCUGCAGACUGAGGUCUUCUUUGCUUCAAUUGAUCAACGAAAUGAACGGGCUGCAGGUGAAAGUGCUUGUACAGCUUUGGUUGCUGUGAUUGCUGAUUGGUUCCAUUCCAACCCUGAAGAAAUGCCUAUCAAGUCCCAACUCGAC